rnacentral:rRNA from 1 species
GACGAACGCUGGCGGCGUGCUUAACACAUGCAAGUCGAACGGAAAGGCCCUGCUUUUGUGGGGUGCUCGAGUGGCGAACGGGUGAGUAACACGUGAGUAACCUGCCCUUGACUUUGGGAUAACUUCAGGAAACUGGGGCUAAUACCGGAUAGGAGCUCCUGCUGCAUGGUGGGGGUUGGAAAGUUUCGGCGGUUGGGGAUGGACUCGCGGCUUAUCAGCUUGUUGGUGGGGUAGUGGCUUACCAAGGCUUUGACGGGUAGCCGGCCUGAGAGGGUGACCGGCCACAUUGGGACUGAGAUACGGCCCAGACUCCUACGGGAGGCAGCAGUGGGGAAUAUUGCACAAUGGGCGGAAGCCUGAUGCAGCAACGCCGCGUGCGGGAUGACGGCCUUCGGGUUGUAAACCGCUUUCGCCUGUGACGAAGCGUGAGUGACGGUAAGGGGUAAAGAAGCACCGGCUAAAUACGUGC